UACGUAAGUGGCGAGCGUUAUCCGGAAUUACUGGGCGUAAAGGGCCAGUAGGCGGCCAACUAAGUCCGACGUGAAAUCCCAAGGCUUAACCUUGGAACUGCGUCGGAUACUGGAUGGCUUGAAUUCGGGAGAGGGAUGCAGAAUUCCAGGUGUAGCGGUGAAAUGCGUAGAUAUCUGGAGGAAUACCGGUGGCGAAGGCGGCAUCCUGGACCGACAUUGACGCUGAACGGCGAAAGCUAGGGGAGCAAACGGG
rnacentral:rRNA from 1 species